UGCACAGUAGUCUGUUGUUGUAAACAUCCCCGACUGGAAGCUGUAAAUUUCAGCUUUCAGUCAGAUGUUUGCUGCCACCGGCUAUUCAUAAACAAC
rnacentral:pre_miRNA from 11 species